CCUACGGGGGGCUGCAGUGGGGAAUAUUGGACAAUGGGCGAAAGCCUGAUCCAGCCAUGCCGCGUGUGUGAAGAAGGCCUUCGGGUUGUAAAGCACUUUCAGUGGGGAAGAAAGCCUUGGGGCUAAUACCCUCGAGGAAGGACAUCACCCACAGAAGAAGCACCGGCUAACUCCGUGCCAGCAGCCGCGGUAAUACGGAGGGUGCGAGCGUUAAUCGGAAUUACUGGGCGUAAAGCGCGCGUAGGCGGUCUGAUAAGCCGGUUGUGAAAGCCCCGGGCUCAACCUGGGAACGGCAUCCGGAACUGUCAGGCUAGAGUGCAGGAGAGGAAGGUAGAAUUCCCGGUGUAGUGGUGAAAUGCGUAGAGAUCGGGAGGAAUACCAGUGGCGAAGGCGGCCUUCUGGACUGACACUGACGCUGAGGUGCGAAAGCGUGGGUAGCAAACAGGAUUAGAUACCCUUGUAGUC
rnacentral:rRNA from 1 species